UUCAAGUGAUGACUUUAAAAAAUAAAUGAAUUGGAAUGAUACAGAGAAGAUUAGCAUGGCAGCAAGGAUAACACACAAAUUCGUGAAGCGUUCCAUAUUUUU